rnacentral:tRNA from 1 species
GGGGAUAUAACUCAGUUGGUAGAGUGUGUGCUUUGCAAGCGUAAGGUCAAGAGUUCGAAUCUCUUUAUCUCCU